AGUGAACGCUGGCGGUAGGCCUAACACAUGCAAGUCGAACGGCAGCACAGUAAGAGCUUGCUCUUACGGGUGGCGAGUGGCGGACGGGUGAGGAAUACAUCGGAAUCUACUUUUUCGUGGGGGAUAACGUAGGGAAACUUACGCUAAUAGUGCAUACGACCUACGGGUGAAAGCAGGGGAUCUUCGGACCUUGCGCGAUUGAAUGAGCCGAUGUCGGAUUAGCUAGUUGGCGGGGUAAAGGCCCACCAAGGCGACGAUCCGUAGCUGGUCUGAGAGGAUGAUCAGCCACACUGGAACUGAGACACGGUCCAGACUCCUACGGGAGGCAGCAGUGGGGAAUAUUGGACAAUGGGCGCAAGCCUGAUCCAGCCAUACCGCGUGGGUGAAGAAGGCCUUCGGGUUGUAAAGCCCUUUUGUUGGGAAAGAAAAGCAGCAGGUUAAUACCCCGCUGUUCUGACGGUACCCAAAGAAUAAGCACCGGCUAACUUCGUG
rnacentral:rRNA from 1 species